rnacentral:rRNA from 1 species
AGAGUUUGAUCAUGGCUCAGAUUGAACGCUGGCGGCAGGCCUAACACAUGCAAGUCGGACGGUAGCACAGAGGAGCUUGCUCCUUGGGUGACGAGUGGCGGACGGGUGAGUAAUGUCUGGGGAUCUGCCCGAUAGAGGGGGAUAACCACUGGAAACGGUGGCUAAUACCGCAUAACGUCGCAAGACCAAAGAGGGGGACCUUCGGGCCUCUCACUAUCGGAUGAACCCAGAUGGGAUUAGCUAGUAGGCGGGGUAAUGGCCCACCUAGGCGACGAUCCCUAGCUGGUCUGAGAGGAUGACCAGCCACACUGGAACUGAGACACGGUCCAGACUCCUACGGGAGGCAGCAGUGGGGAAUAUUGCACAAUGGGCGCAAGCCUGAUGCAGCCAUGCCGCGUGUAUGAAGAAGGCCUUCGGGUUGUAAAGUACUUUCAGCGGGGAGGAAGGCGGUGCGGUUAAUAACCGCGCCGAUUGACGUUACCCGCAGAAGAAGCACCGGCUAACUCCGUGCCAGCAGCCGCGGUAAUACGGAGGGUGCAAGCGUUAAUCGGAAUUACUGGGCGUAAAGCGCACGCAGGCGGUCUGUUAAGUCAGAUGUGAAAUCCCCGGGCUUAACCUGGGAACUGCAUUUGAAACUGGCAGGCUUGAGUCUCGUAGAGGGGGGUAGAAUUCCAGGUGUAGCGGUGAAAUGCGUAGAGAUCUGGAGGAAUACCGGUGG